GGAAGUAAAAGUCGUAACGAGGUUUCCGUAGGUGAACCUGCGGAAGGAUCAUUAUUGUAUAACCGAGGUGCGAGGGCUGUCGCUGACCCGAAAGGUCGUGCACGCCCGAGUGCCCUCACACACAUCCAUCUCACCCCUAUGUGCACCACCGCGUGGGUCCCCCUUUGGCUUGUUCGGAGGGGGGCUUACGUUUUCACACAAACUUUGUAUGUAGUGUAGAAUGUAUUUUUUGUUUUUGCGAUCACGCAAUCAAUACAACUUUCAACAACGGAUCUCUUGGCUCUC
rnacentral:misc_RNA from 1 species